CGGCGCGCGUUAAUUGCAUGCAAGUCGAGCGAUGAGGCCUUCUUCGGAGGGCACAUCAGCGGCAGACGGGUGAGUAACACGUGGGUGACCUGCCCUUGAGACGGGGAUAACGGAUGGAAACAUGCGCUAAUACCCGAUAGGUCCCAGGGUCAAAGCUGGGAUGAAAGCUUUGGUGCUCAAGGAGGGGCUCGCGGCCCAUCAGCUAGUUGGUGAGGUAACGGCUCACCAAGGCGAAGACGGGUARGGGGUGUGARARCACGGCCCCCCACAAUGGGACUGAGACACGGCCCAUACUCCUACGGGAGGCAGCAGCAGGGAAUAUUGCACAAUGGACGGAAGUCUGAUGCAGCGACGCCGCGUGGAUGAUGAAGGCCUUCGGGUUGUAAAAUCCUUUACGGGGUGACGAGGAARGACGGUAGCCCCGGAACAAGCGUCGGCUAACUACGUGCCAGCAGCCGCGGUAAGACGUAGGACGCAAGCGUUAUCCGGAUUUACUGGGCGUAAAGCGUCUGUAGGCGGAUGAGUAAGUUGGGCGUGAAAGCUCCGGGCUCAACCCGGAGAGGCCGUUCAAUACUKCUGAUCUARAGGAGGCCAGAGGGGAGUGGAAUUCCUGGAGUARCGGUAAAAUGCGCAGAUAUCAGGUAGGACACCAGUCGCGAGKGCAGCUCCCUAACGUACACCCCACGCUGCGAUGAGAGACGACAGGUAGGGGAGCGGAUAGGAUUAGAGACCAUUCUAGUCCGAGCCGUAAACGAGCUAUGCUAGGUGUAGGGCCGUAGAGGYUYUGUGCYGGAGCGAACGCGAUAAGCAUCCCGCCUGGGGAGUACGGCCGCAAGGCUAAAACUYAAACGAAUUGACGGGGACCCGCACAAGCAGCGGAGCGUGUGGUUUAAUUCGAUGCUACACGAAGAACCUUACCUGGGUUUGACAUGGGCGUGGUAGUGAAGCGAAAGCGGAGCGACUUUCGGGGAGCGUCCAYAKKUUKYUURYAUGGCUGUCGUCAGCUCGUGCCGUGAGGUGUCGGGUUAAGUCCCGUAACGAGCGCAACCCUUGCCCUUAGUUACAAGUGUCUAAGGGGACUGCCGGCGGGAAGCCGGAGGAAGGUGGGGAUGACGUCAAGUCAGCAUGGCCCUUAUAUCCAGGGCUACACACACGCUACAAUGGCCGGUACAGAGGGCAGCGAAGCCGCGAGGUGGAGCGAAUCCCAGAAAGCCGGUCGUAGUUCGGAUUGCAGGCUGCAACCCGCCUGCAUGAAGCUGGAGUUGCUAGUAACCGCGCGUCAGCC
rnacentral:rRNA from 1 species